AGUCUGGUGCCAGCACCCGCGGUAAUUCCAGCUCCAAGAGCGUAUAUUAAUACUGCUGUAGAUAAAACGCCCGUAGUAUACCUAAGAGUGGGCAUGUAGUAAUUAGUUUUGUCAGAGGAUGAUUGACGAGAGUUUAUCACUCUUGUUCGUCUACCUUUGAUAGACUUUAGUCGGGCUGGAUCUUCGGUCCACGUCUGACAGUUGCUGCGUGUUUACUUACCACGGUUUAUCCGUGAGGCCCUUGGCUUGCAACUGUAAAUAAAUCGUUGUGCUUAAAGCGGGCUAUGAUACUCUGCCAGAGCGAUUUAGCAUGGGACUGCAGAGUAGCUGUAUUUGAGUGAAGGUUGUAUUUCGGUAUGACUGGAUCUUGGUACAGCGCUUGUAAUGGAGCUCAGGGUGAGGCCCCGGGUACCAUGAGGCUAGAGGUGAAAUUCUGAGACCCUCAUGUGACCAACUAAGGCGAAAGCUGUCGUGGGCCACCACAAGCUCGUCUAUCAGGGACGAAAGUUGGGGGAUCGAAGACGAUUAGAUACCGUCGUAGUCCCAACUAUAAACGAUACCAACCGAGUAUUUGGGAAGACACUAUCCCAGCGAUCUUCUCAGAACUCAAGGGAAACCUUAAGUCUUUGGGUUCUGGGGGGAGUAUAGUCGCAAGACCGAAACUUAAAGGAAUUGACGGAAAGGCACCACCAGGAGUGGAGUCUGCGGCUUAAUUCGACCCAACACGGGGAAACUCACCAGGUCAGGACACAAGUUUGAUUGACAGGUUAAUAGCCCUUUCUUGAUUGUGUGGUGGGUAGUGCAUGGCCGUUUCCAGUUCGUGGAGUGAUCUGUCUUGUUAAUUCAGAUAACGAACGAGACCUAAGCCUUUAACUAGCCGUAGGCCCUUUCCUUCGGGGAAAGGUUUAGUUUGUCGGGACAGGUUCUGCCUGUUCCUAAACCUACGAGACUUUUGUCAGCUUCUUAAAGGGACUUCAUUCGUAAACUAGGAUGAGGAAGAUUUAGGCCAUAACAGGUCUGUGAUGCUCUUAGAUGUCCUGGGCUGCACGCGUACUACAAUAACGGUACCAGCGAGCGCUAUGGUUUUAUAACCCCUUAUCCUAAUAGGAUUGGGAAAACUUUUCAAACACCGUUAUGACAGGGAUCGAGGAUUGGAACAUCCUCGUGAACGAGGAAUUCCUAGUAAGCGUGGUUCAUCAUACCACAUUGAUUACGUCCCUGCCUUUUGUACACACCGCCCGUCGCUCCUACCGAUGGGACGAAGAGAUGAACCUGGCGGACCGAACCGCAAGGUAAGGGAAACCAGUUAAAUCUCUUCGUCUGUAGGAAGGAAAAGUCGUAA
rnacentral:rRNA from 1 species